CAUUUUGCCUGUUCGCGUCCAACGCCCAAUUCGCGUCCAAACGACGAACUACUAUUUUACAGCAGUGGAAAAUAACCAUACGAACACACUUACGGAAACACGAGCGCUUCUAUGGAUAUUUUGGACCUAUGACAGUUACACACACACAAACAAAAAAUCUAUGCGCGCAAUCCAACUUGAAUGAAAAAAGAACUAGUUUUGAGUGUGCAACCAACGAGUGUCGAUGCGCGAAAAUAUUAGAAAUGAAAUAGUGCGCAGCUGCACUUUUCACCACACUGCCGAAACUCAUAAAUUUCUUGGUGAAUUAAAUCCUGAAAUUGACAACUCUGCAAGAAAACGUACAAAACAAAUAGCAGCAGUAUUGACUUCAAAAGAAGAAAUUCAAAGAAGAAAUAUAAAAUACAAAAUCGAAAGCCACGUUCGUUUAAAAACAAAUUGGAAUCGACUUCUGAAGAAGAAGACCUAAUACUUUUGGAUAGCGAGGAUUCAGCUGGAGAAGACUGCGAAUAUGAUUGUUUAAGAUGUGGCGAAAACUACUAUAAAACUGAAAAAAUUGAAGAUUGGAUUCAAUGCAUUUUCUGUCAUAAAUGGAUGCAUGAAAAUUGUACGCCGUUUGAAAAUACUUGCGACACAUGUGGAAUAUUAAAUAAAUGAUUUCAUUAAAA